GUAGCUCAGUGGUAGAGCUAUCGGCUGUUAACCGAUCGGUCGUAGGUUCGAGUCCUACCUGUGGAGCCA
rnacentral:tRNA from 3 species